rnacentral:rRNA from 1 species
CCCCUAGAUGUUCUGGGCCGCACGCGCGCUACACUGAACAGUUCAACAAGUCUUAACCUUGGCCGAUAGGUCUGGGUAAUCUUUGAACGCUGUUCGUGAUUGGGAUAGACCUUUGCAAUUAUGGGUCUUCAACGAGGAAUUCCUAGUAAACGCAAGUCAUCAGCUUGCAUUGAUUACGUCCCUGCCCUUUGUACACACCGCCCGUCGCACCUACCGAUUGAAUGGUCCGGUGAAAUCUCCGGAUUGGCGCGCACCUCGGUGCCGCCGAGAAGUUGGCUAAACCUUACCAUUUAGAGGAAGGUGAANUCGUAACA